rnacentral:rRNA from 1 species
CCAGACUCCUACGGGAGGCAGCAGUGGGGAAUAUUGCACAAUGGGGGAAACCCUGAUGCAGCGACGCCGCGUGAGUGAAGAAGUAUUUCGGUAUGUAAAGCUCUAUCAGCAGGGAAGAAAAUGACGGUACCUGAGUAAGAAGCCCCGGCUAACUACGUGCCAGCAGCCGCGGUAAUACGUAGGGGGCAAGCGUUAUCCGGAUUUACUGGGUGUAAAGGGAGCGUAGACGGCGAUACAAGUCUGAAGUGAAAGCCCGGGGCUCAACCCCGGGACUGCUUUGGAAACUGUGUUGCUGGAGUGCUGGAGAGGCAAGCGGAAUUUCUAGUGUAGCGGUGAAAUGCGUAGAGAUUAGGAAGAACACCAGUGGCGAAGGCGACUUACUGGACUGUAACUGACGCUGAGGCAUGAGGGCAUGGGGAGCAAACAGGAUUAGAUACCCGCGUAAUU